rnacentral:rRNA from 1 species
UACGGAGGGGGCUAGCGUUGUCCGGAAUCACUGGGCGUAAAGGGCGCGUAGGCGGCCUUCUAAGUCGAACGUGAAAUCCCCGGGCUCAACCCGGGAACUGCAUCCGAUACUGGAUGGCUUGAAUCCGGGAGAGGGAUGCAGAAUUCCAGGUGUAGCGGUGAAAUGCGUAGAUAUCUGGAGGAAUACCGGUGGCGAAGGCGGCAUCCUGGACCGGCAUUGACGCUGAGGAGCGAAAGCCAAGGGAGCAAACGGG